AUGAACACAGACCCACAACACUGGAGCAGGGCUUGGUUCAGGUUAGGAAGUUGUUGUGAUUCUGUGGACAAUAACAUUUCUGAAACUUUUAACAAAUGGAUAGUUGAGGCUAGAUUAUAUCCUGUGAUAACAAUGUCCGAAACAAUUAGGCAGCAAAUUAUGAUCAGGAUACAUGAAAUGAGAAGUGAGAUGGAAAGUUGGACUGGCAUCAUCUGUCCAAAAGUACUGAAGAAGCUACAGAAAAGCAUAGAUUAUUCUGCUUAUUGUCAUGCAAUUUUUAAUGGCAAUGAUGCAUAUGAAGUGAAGACAAGAGUACAUAGGUACACUGUCAGAUUGCAUGACAGGACAUGUAUUUGUAGGUAUUGGCGGUUGUCAGGCCUUCCUUACUCUCAUGCCAUCAGCUGCAUACACUGCACUACAAACAAAUUGGAUGAUUACAUUGCUGAUUGCUACAGAGUGGAUAAUUUCAAAAAACUUAUGCUUAUUGUCUGCAACCUCUUGAGGGAAGAGAUGCAUGGCCUGUGUCUCAGAGAACAAAACCAAAAGCACCUGGGCACAUCAAUAUGCCUGGUAGGAAAAAGAAGUGUAGAACAAGAGAAGAGGAAGAAAAACCAAAGACUAGCAAAGUUAGCAAGGUUGGCAUAG
rnacentral:rRNA from 1 species